rnacentral:rRNA from 1 species
GACGUAGGGUGCGAGCGUUGUCCGGAUUUAUUGGGCGUAAAGAGCUCGUAGGCGGUCUGUCGCGUCUGCUGUGAAAACUCGGGGCUUAACCCCGGGCCUGCAGUGGGUACGGGCAGACUAGAGUGCGGUAGGGGAGACUGGAAUUCCUGGUGUAGCGGUGAAAUGCGCAGAUAUCAGGAGGAACACCGGUGGCGAAGGCGGGUCUCUGGGCCGUAACUGACGCUGAGGAGCGAAAGCGUGGGGAGCAAACAGG